CGGCUCAUUUUGACCCCUCAACCUUCAGAGAUAAGGUCUUCCUGUGAGAGUCGACCAUCUCCUCGUUCGUCCAGAUCCACUCCAUGGCGAUAUGUGCUACAAGCAUACAAAUAUGAGAAAGAUGCUUCAUAAAUUGUAUUGUCACAUCAAUUCCUAAGAGGUAUGUUUGGCUCAAUCAUGACCGUCUUUAUAUCUUACUGAACUUCUAUACUUCCGUUAGUGGAUGAUUUUCUAUAGGUUUGCGUUCUGGCAUUCUUAUUCUUUGGUUCUAUGCAUCAAUAGGUUUCCACCUAUUCUCCUGGUGUUAUUCCUUUUCUCUGUCAGAAAGCUUAUGCAGAGUUACCCAAUGCCUGCCCAGCUCCAGUUAGUAGUACCACGGCAGAACUGAACAAUAGUGAUUAAUUUUGCACUCUCCUUCGACCUUUCCUUAUGGAUGUAUUCCCUCCAUCAAUGAAGCCCAGCAACAAAUUAAAUAAUUUUCUUAAAUUUUGUGCAAAUUACUGAAGAACCAUCCUAGGUUUAUUAUAAUUAUGAAAACGUGACAAUGUUUAUUCUUCAUCACCUAGAGACUAUGUUAUGUUAUUCGAUAUGCGAAGUCGAGCACUCUUACUUGUGCGACUGACGGAAGCGCCUUACCUCGAUGUGAGGGACGCGUUAAGUGUUAUAUGGAGCAGGGGCGCACCUCCCUGAUAGCGCAUACAUUGCGGUAGUUUAGAUCUUCUAGGAAGAUUAUAUCUUGGGGAGGAAGCGAUAAGAGAGAGGUUACAAUAUGAGAUAUGAGAUAAACAUCCAAACAACCUACUCUAUCUAUCUCUAUCCUGCGCCGGUGUGGGGCUCAAUGAACGUGACAUGUUUACAUGUUUGACACCCUCCCUUAAUCACAACUUCAUCAACUUGAGAUUAUGCUUGAAGUCCUCAAAGCUUCUAACAGAUGGGGCCUUUGUGAAUCCAUCUGCUAUCUGAUCUCUGGAAUGCACAAACCGAAUGUUAAGUUGCUUUUGAGCCACUCUUUCUCUGAUAAAAUGGAAAUCAAUCUCUAUAUGCUUUGUUCUGGCAUGGAAAACAGGGUUAGCAGAUAAGUAUGUGGCGCCUAAGUUAUCACACCACAAACAGGGAGCCUUGGCACUUUUCACACCAAGCUCCUUUAGCAUGGACUGCACCCAUAUGAUCUCAGCUGUAGCAUUAGCUAAUGCUUUGUAUUCUGCCUCUGUACUUGAUCUGGAGACCGUGGCCUGUUUUCUUGCACACCAUGAAAUCAAGUUAGGGCCAAAGAAAACUGCAAAGCCACCAGUGGAACGUCUGUCAUCUAGGCAUCCUGCCCAAUCAGAAUCUGAGAAGGCACUCACAAGUGUAGAUGAAGAUUUGCUGAGAUUGAGACCAAUAUUAAGAGUGUUUUUGACAUAUCUGACUAUGCGUUUUGCAGCAGUCCAAUGAACUGUAGUGGGUGCAUGGAGGAAUUGGCAAACUUUAUUGACAGCAAAUGAGAUAUCAGGUCUUGUAAGUGUUAAAUAUUGAAGUGCACCUACUAGACUUCUGUAUUUUGUGCUGUCAUCUUGGCUCAAGGGCUGCCCUUUUGUAAGAGAUAGCUUUUCAGAACUAGACAAUGGAGUGGGUGAGGGUUUACAACCUUGUAAGCCAGCUUUCUUCACCAAGUUUGUUGCAUACUUUUCUUGGGAGAGAUGAAUACCAUUCUCAUGCUUCUUUACUUCUAUUCCCAGAAAAUAAUGCAACUCUCCAAGAUCCUUGAGAGCAAACUCUGCACUAAGAUCUUUCAAAAGUCCUAUGACAGUCUCAUCAGAUGAACUUGUAACAAUAAUAUCAUCAACAUAUAUGAGAACAAAUAUGUGUGUGUUGCAUUUAUUGUAGAUGAACAAUGAGGUGUCAGACUUAGAAGGGACAAAACCAAGUGUUUGCAUUUUUUGACUGAAUCGGGAAUACCACGCCCUAGGAGCUUGCUUCAACCCAUAUAGUGCCUUAUCAAGUUUGCACACGUGAGAAGGUGCAUUCUUGUUUUCAAACCCAGGAGGUUGUUUCAUGUACACUUCCUCUUCCAGAACACUAUGAAGAAACGCGUUCUGUACAUCAAGUUGUCUGAGACUCCAGCCUCUAGAAACUGCAAUAGACAACACAAGACGAAUGGUGGCAGCUUUUACAACAGGACUAAAGGUGUCCUCGUAGUCUAUGCCAUACCGUUGUUUAAAGCCCUUUGCCACAAGUCUUGCUUUGUAGCGAUCUAUGGUUCUAUCAGAUUUUCUCUUGAUCCUAAAAACUCACUUACAAUCAAUAAGAUUUUUACCUUUCUGUGGGGAACCAAGUGCCAGGUUUUAUUUUUUUCAGAGCCAUGUAUUCUUCAUUCAUGGCUUUUCUCCAAUGUUCAUCACCAAGUGCUUCUUCAAGUGUAUAAGGUUCACCUGGUUCACCUGUUGAACAAAUGAUACCGUAUUUUGUUACAUGUUUGUAAUCAACAGGUUGAAUUACCCCUUUUUGCAGCCAUGUACGCCGUGGUGACUGCAAAGAGGAUCCCGUGCUGCGUACAGGAGUUUCU
rnacentral:lncRNA from 1 species